GACCCUACGGGACGCAGCAGUAGGGAAUCUUCCACAAUGGACGAAAGUCUGAUGGAGCAACGCCGCGUGAGUGAAGAAGGGUUUCGGCUCGUAAAGCUCUAUCAGCAGGGAAGAAAAUGACGGUACCUGACUAAGAAGCCCCGGCUAACUACGUGCCAGCAGCCGCGGUAAUACGUAGGGGGCAAGCGUUAUCCGGAUUUACUGGGUGUAAAGGGAGCGUAGACGGCAUUGCAAGUCUGAUGUGAAAGAUUGGGGCUCAACCCCAGGCCUGCAUUGGAAACUUUAAAGCUGGAGUACAGG
rnacentral:rRNA from 1 species